ACAGUCCCUGGGCUGACAUCACCGGCACAUCCCCAGCCCAGAGCCGGGAAGAGGCUGGAGGCAGAGGUGGGGCAGCCUCCCUCCCGGGAGCCCUCGUGGGCUGCCCAGCACACGGCGGACACGGUCACCAGUCCCAACUAACACGCGCCCAGACUCAGGUGUCCACACAAGGAGACAAGAGACAUGCAGGAAGAAGCCACGUCGUGACGGCGUGAGACUGGAGGGACGCGGCCACAGCCCCAGACUGCCGGCAUCCUAGACGCUGGAAGAGGCGGCAGCGGCCUCCCCGGAGCCCCCAGAGUCGGGAUGGGGGGAAGGGGGGCUUCCCAGGGCUGCUCUCGAUGGCCCCGGGCGUCCACACAAGGAAUGUCACAGGAAGUGGCCCGGCCCAGAGGGGCCCGAGGACCCAUGGCACCUGCCUGACACAUGGGGUCCCAAUGGGGUCCCGGGACGGAGGAGGACACCAGGGGACUGAGGAGUGUGAGGAAAGCGGGGCCCCAGGUUCAUGAAAUGCACCAGCCCCGGCUCAGCGCCGGGAGCAUGUCCGGCUCCAGCGUGCGGCGUGAGCAACGGGGGUCUCCGAGCUGCCUUCCCGCCGUCUCUGUGACUCCAGAACUGCUCUGAGAUAAAGGCUGUUUAAAAAGAACCAAACCUUCCCCUCCCAAUCCGCCCCCCAGCCCCAGCGUCGCCCCGCGAGCCGGCCCUCCGGGCUCCCAACACCCCUGCACAGCGUCCCUGCGCCCACUCACUGCCCGCAAACUCCUUGAGGAUGCAGCACCUUCUGUCACGGCACAGGCAGGAACGCCAAGACUGGGGACCAAGCGAAACAGAACAGACCCACAGACACGGAAGACGGGGCAGAGCCGCAGAGGAAACACACCGCCUUACAGACGAGCAUCUCUGACGAUGACGCGAGUGAACAUGGCUGCUCAGCCCGCCAGAGCCACAGGAGGGCCGGCGCACAGGGGGCAGCUCACAGGGCUCCACUGUCAGCCCCAGGGCCCGCCCAGCCUCUGCGAGGACCACCCGCACAGCCACAUGGCUGCCAGGGCUGCCACAGCCAUGCUGGGGCCACCGUGCCCCGCCCUGUGCGCAGCUGACAGCAGCUGCGCACAGGGAGAGGAAGCGCACACGGAGAGGAAGCGCACACGGCGCAGCCCCAGA
rnacentral:lncRNA from 1 species